AGAGUUUGAUUCUGGCUCAGAACGAACGCUGGCGGCAGGCCUAACACAUGCAAGUCGAACGGUCCUUCGGGAUGGUGGCGCACGGGUGAGUAACGCGUGGGAACGUACCUUGUAGUACGGAAUAGCCUCGGGAAACUGGGAUUAAUACCGUAUACGCCCUUCGGGGGAAAGAUUUAUCGCUAUAAGAUCGGCCCGCGUAGCAUUAGUUUGUUGGUGGGGUAAUGGCCUACCAAGACUACGAUGUUUAGCUGGUCUGAGAGGAUGAUCAGCCACACUGGAACUGAGACACGGUCCAGACUCCUACGGGAGGCAGCAGUGGGGAAUAUUGGACAAUGGGGGAAACCCUGAUCCAGCCAUGCCGCGUGUGUGAUGAAGGCCCUAGGGUUGUAAAGCACUUUCAACGGUGAAGAUAAUGACGGUAACCGUAGAAGAAGCCCCGGCUAACUUCGUGCCAGCAGCCGCGGUAAUACGAAGGGGGCUAGCGUUUCGGAAUUACUGGGCGUAAAGGGCGCGUAGGCUGCGUCAUAAGUCAGAUGUGAAAUCCCAGGGCUCAACCCUGGAACUGCAUUUGAAACUGUGGCGCUGGAAUCUCGGAGGGGGUAGCGGAAUUUCUAAUGUAGGGGUGAAAUCCGUAGAUAUUAGAAGGAACACCGGCGGCGAAGGCGGCUACCUGGACGAGUAUUGACGCUGAGGUGCGAAAGUGUGGGGAGCAAACAGGAUUAGAUACCCUGGUAGUCCACACCGUAAACGAUGAGUGCCAGUUGUUGGGGGUUUACCUUCAGUGACGUCGUUAACGCUUUAAGCACUCCGCCUGGGGAGUACGGCCGCAAGGUUAAAACUCAAAGAAAUUGACGGGGACCCGCACAAGCGGUGGAGCAUGUGGUUUAAUUCGAGGCAACGCGAAGAACCUUACCAGGCCUUGACAUGGUUAGUAUGGAGACCAGAGAUGGACUCCUUCAGCUAGGCUGGCUAACACACAGGUGCUGCAUGGCUGUCGUCAGCUCGUGUCGUGAGAUGUUGGGUUAAGUCCCGCAACGAGCGCAACCCUCAUCCUUAGUUGCCAGCGGUUCGGCCGGGAACUCUAAGGAAACUGCCUGUGAUAAGCAGGAGGAAGGUGGGGACGACGUCAAGUCAUCAUGGCCCUUACGGCCUGGGCUACACACGUGCUACAAUGGCGGUGACAAUGGGCAGCGAACCCGCAAGGGGGAGCGAAUCCCAAAAAGCCGUCUCAGUUCGGAUUGUCCUCUGCAACUCGAGGGCAUGAAGUUGGAAUCGCUAGUAAUCGUAGAUCAGCAUGCUACGGUGAAUACGUUCCCGGGUCUUGUACACACCGCCCGUCACACCAUGGGAGUCGCUUCUGCCUUAAGCCGGUGAGCCGAUCUGGCAGCCGUCCACGGCAGGGGUGGUGACUGGGGUGAAGUCG
rnacentral:rRNA from 1 species